rnacentral:rRNA from 1 species
AGGAUAAACGCUGGCGGCGUGCCUAACACAUGCAAGUCGCACGGGCACUUCGGUGUCAGUGGCGGACGGGUGAGUAACGCGUAGGUAUCUAUCCUUGGGUGGGGGACAACGGUUGGAAACGACUGCUAAUACCGCAUGAUAACUGAGGUUUAAAGGCGCAAGUCGCCUGAGGAGGAGCCUGCGUACGAUUAGCUAGUUGGUGGGGUAAAGGCCUACCAAGGCGACGAUCGUUAGCUGGUCUGAGAGGAUGAUCAGCCACAUUGGGACUGAGACACGGCCCAAACUCCUACGGGAGGCAGCAGUGGGGAAUAUUGGACAAUGGGCGAAAGCCUGAUCCAGCAAUGCCGCGUGUGUGAAGAAGGUCUUCGGAUUGUAAAGCACUUUCGACAGGGACGAUGAUGACGGUACCUGUAGAAGAACGCCCCGGCUAACUUCGUGCCAGCAGCCGC